rnacentral:lncRNA from 1 species
UGGGCAUCUGGACCCAAGUGUCCAAACCUGGCCAUCCUUUUUAUUCUGCCUCAGUGCAGGUCACCUGUGUAGCCUAAGCAUAUUUGAGCAGAACACUACGGUGCACUUUCCCUUACAGAAACAUACACACAUCCACCACAAACAGGAUUGUGCCACCUCCUACCCCGUGUCUUACAACCUCCACAUAAACUGUAUUGAUGAAGUCACAAGGAACACGCUUCAUUCAUCUACAACUUUACUUCUGGGAUAUGUCCACAGCCAACACACAUUAAGCCUGAAGGACAGAGCGUCCCAGAGAUUUUCUCUCUAUCAACAUGCCUGCAACAUUUAAGGUAGAGAAGAGAUACUCCAGAGAGUGCCCCUUACAGGGUAGGAAUAUGUGAAGCCACAGCUGUGUUACUGUCUUUGAAACCUAAUGGUAUCCUGGUCUACAUUAGAAGUGGUAUUACCAGCAGGUAGAGGAAGGUGAUCUCUACCCUCUCCUCUGCACUGAUGAGGCCACGCUGAAUGCCAUACUGGACAGCUGGAGUUGGCUCUGAUCUGGCAUGGAGCAGUUACUGGGCUCUGCUCACAGCAGCCACCCCAGCAGCCGCC